UACGGGGGGGGUAAGCGUUGUUCGGAAUUACUGGGCGUAAAGGGCUCGUAGGCGGCCAACUAAGUCAGACGUGAAAUCCCUCAGCUUAACUGGGGAACUGCGUCUGAUACUGGAUGGCUUGGAUCCGGGAGAGGGAUGCGGAAUUCCAGGUGUAGCGGUGAAAUGCGUAGAUAUCUGGAGGAACACCGGUGGCGAAGGCGGCAUCCUGGGCUAACACUGACGCUCAGGCACGAAAGCGUGGGGAGCAAACAGG
rnacentral:rRNA from 1 species